rnacentral:rRNA from 1 species
GGCCAAGUUUUUAAGGGCGCACGGUGGAUGCCUUGGCACCAGGAACCGAUGAAGGACGUGGGAGGCCACGAUAGGCCCCGGGGAGUCGUCAACCAGGCUUUGAUCCGGGGGUGUCCGAAUGGGGAAACCCGGCAGUCGUCAUGGGCUGUCACCCGCUGCUGAACUCAUAGGCAGUGUGGAGGGAACGCGGGGAAGUGAAACAUCUCAGUACCCGCAGGAAGAGAAAACAACCGUGAUUCCGGGAGUAGUGGCGAGCGAAACCGGAUGAGGCCAAACCGUAUACGUGUGAGACCCGGCAGGGGUUGCGUGUGCGGGGUUGUGGGAUCUCUCUUGAUCAGUCUGCCGGCUGGUCGACGAGUCAGAAACCGUUGAUGUAGGCGAAGGACAUGCGAAAGGUCCGGCGUAGAGGGUAAGACCCCCGUAGUCGAAACAUUAGCGGCUCGUUUGAGAGACACCCAAGUAGCACGGGGCCCGAGAAAUCCCGUGUGAAUCUGGCGGGACCACCCGCUAAGCCUAAAUAUUCCCUGGUGACCGAUAGCGGAUAGUACCGUGAGGGAAUGGUGAAAAGUACCGCGGGAGCGGAGUGAAAUAGUACCUGAAACCGUGUGCCUACAAGCCGUGGGAGCGUCGCGCAAGGACUUGUCCUUGCGUCGUGACUGCGUGCCUUUUGAAGAAUGAGCCUGCGAGUUUGCGGUGUGUUGCGAGGUUAACCCGAGUGGGGAAGCCGUAGCGAAAGCGAGUCCGAACAGGGCGCUGUAGUAGCACGCUCAAGACCCGAAGCGGAGUGAUCUAGCCAUGGGCAGGUUGAAGCGGAGGUAAGACUUCGUGGAGGACCGAACCCACCAGGGUUGAAAACCUGGGGGAUGACCUGUGGUUAGGGGUGAAAGGCCAAUCAAACUCCGUGAUAGCUGGUUCUCCCCGAAAUGCAUUUAGGUGCAGCGUCGUGUGUUUCUUGCCGGAGGUAGAGCACUGGAUAGGCGAUGGGCCCUACCGGGUUACUGACCUUAGCCAAACUCCGAAUGCCGGUAAGUGAGAGCGCGGCAGUGAGACUGUGGGGGAUAAGCUCCAUGGUCGAGAGGGAAACAGCCCAGAGCAUCGACUAAGGCCCCUAAGCGUACGCUAAGUGGGAAAGGAUGUGGAGUCGCACAGACAACCAGGAGGUUGGCUUAGAAGCAGCCACCCUUGAAAGAGUGCGUAAUAGCUCACUGGUCUAGUGAUUCCGCGCCGACAAUGUAGCGGGGCUCAAGCGUACCGCCGAAGUCGUG